GUGGGGAAUCUUGCGCAAUGGGCGAAAGCCUGACGCAGCCAUGCCGCGUGAAUGAUGAAGGUCUUAGGAUUGUAAAAUUCUUUCACCGGGGACGAUAAUGACGGUACCCGGAGAAGAAGCUCCGGCUAACUUCGUGCCAGCAGCCGCGGUAAUACGAAGGGGGCUAGCGUUGCUCGGAAUUACUGGGCGUAAAGGGCGCGUAGGCGGACAGCUUAGUCAGAGGUGAAAGCGCAGGGCUCAACCUUGGAAUUGCCUUUGAUACUGGCUGUCUUGAGUGUGGGAGAGGUGAGUGGAACUCCGAGUGUAGAGGUGAAAUUCGUAGAUAUUCGGAAGAACACCAGUGGCGAAGGCGACUCACUGGCCCAAUACUGACGCUGAGGCGCGAAAGCGUGGGGAGCAAACAGGAUUAGAAACCCUGGUAGUCC
rnacentral:rRNA from 1 species